GCCCACAUAGAUCAAUGGUAGAUCGCCUCGAAUAAUUAUCUGUAACAUUUCUUUGAUAUCGAGGAAACGGAGGUUCGAAUCUUUCCGUGGGUA